CUCACUGUUCUGACUGCUAACACAUUUGGAGAUGCAGAAGGAGCUCACAGCUUUACUCAAGAAUAGAAACCCUACCUAAGACAGAAGAAGGAUUAUCCACAAUUAAGGACCAUGGUUCCUGUGGCUAGUAGAAACACACUUACUCACAAGAAGGAAAACCACAGUGUGCUUGUUAGCAGGCAAGGAAGCACACAUAUGGACAGAUUACUGAAAGGCCUGUAUUCUGACGCUGAUAUGCAGGAAGAAAGAUGAAAAGCAUCCUGGGCAUGGGAGUUAGUGUUAAAAGCAGAAACACUACAGUUCACCUUCCACAAGGCCUUCACCAUCACCACCGUUGGGCUUUCACUGCAUUGGACAUUGGACUUUGGAUAGCAUAAGCAUCCCCUCUUCCACCCAACCUUCCAUGCAGAUGGUGAAACUUGAGUUAGGAGAACUCACCUGUGCACGGGCAGGAGUGAUUCCACCAAAGACAAUGGAAACCUCUGGGGAUAAAAUGGGAUUCACUAAGAAUGAUAAUGUAUGACUUCUGGAAACAGCAGCAGCUCAAAUGUGGAACACAUCCAAAGUCCACAAUAACAACCAGGAAAAUAAAUUUUCUUCCUUCCACUACGGUAUCCUAUAUCUACAGUAGGCGAUGCUGAGAGAGAGAGCCUUGCUUGUGUUCAGUGAGAGGCUUGAAUCCAGCAAGACUAGUUUAAUCACUCUCAGAUACAAGGGUAUCUGCCACAGUCAGCUAUUGUACAACUUCCCUAGAAGCAGAUUCUACUUUGAAGUGCCUUUUGCUACUGGAAAGCUAUUCUGUUUAAUUAGCUUAGAUCAUACAUGCUGACCUUCCCCUUUCUACUCAUCGUUAUUAACUCUCUCCAGUGCUGGAAGACAAUUAUAAGAUUACCUAUUGGCCAUCUUUUCCUUAUACAUAACUACUACGGAUUAUUUAACCUUU
rnacentral:lncRNA from 1 species